UUACUGGAGGUCCGAACCCACGCACGUUGAAAAGUGCGGGGAUGAGGUGUGGGUAGCGGAGAAAUUCCAAUCGAACUUGGAGAUAGCUGGUUCUCUCCGAAAUAGCUUUAGGGCUAGCCUCGAGGUAAAGAGUCAUGGAGGUAGAGCACUGUUUGGACUAGGGGCCCUUCUCGGGUUACCGAAUUCAGAUAAACUCCGAAUGCCAUGUACUUAUACUCGGGAGUCAGACUGCGAGUGAUAAGAUCCGUAGUCGAAAGGGAAACAGCCCAGACCACCAGUUAAGGUCCCCAAAUAUAUGUUAAGUGGAAAAGGAUGUGGGGUUGCUUAGACAACCAGGAUGUUGGCUUAGAAGCAGCCACCAUUGAAAGAGUGCGUAAUAGCUCACUGGUCGAGUGACCCCGCGCCGAAAAUGUACCGGGGCUAAACAUAUUACCGAAACUGUGGAUGAACCUCUUUAGAGGUUCGUGGUAGGAGAGCGUUCUAAGGGCGGUGAAGUCAGACCGGAAGGACUGGUGGAGCGCUUAGAAGUGAGAAUGCCGGUAUGAGUAGCGAAAGAAGGGUGAGAAUCCCUUCCACCGAAUAUCUAAGGUUUCCUGAGGAAGGCUCGUCCGCUCAGGGUUAGUCGGGACCUAAGCCGAGGCCGAUAGGCGUAGGCGAUGGACAACAGGUAGAGAUUCCUGUACCAGUGCUAAUUGUUUAACCGAUGGGGUGACACAGAAGGAUAGGGAAUCGCACGAAUGGAAAUGUGCGUCCAAGCAGUGAGUGUGAGAAGUAGGCAAAUCCG
rnacentral:rRNA from 1 species